GUCGUAACAAGGUCUCCGUAGGUGAACCUGCGGAAGGAUCAUUACCUAGAGUUUGUGGCUUCGGUCUGCUACCUCUUACCCAUGUCUUUUGAGUACCUUCGUUUCCUCGGCGGGUCCGCCCGCCGGUUGGACAACAUUCAAACCCUUUGCAGUUGCAAUCAGCGUCUGAAAAAACUUAAUAGUUACAACUUUCAACAACGGAUCUCUUGGUUCUGGCAUCGAUGAAGAACGCAGCGAAAUGCGAUAAGUAGUGUGAAUUGCAGAAUUCAGUGAAUCAUCGAAUCUUUGAACGCACAUUGCGCCCCUUGGUAUUCCAUGGGGCAUGCCUGUUCGAGCGUCAUUUGUACCUUCAAGCUCUGCUUGGUGUUGGGUGUUUUGUCUCGCCUCCGCGCGCAGACUCGCCUUAAAACAAUUGGCAGCCGGCGUAUUGAUUUCGGAGCGCAGUACAUCUCGCGCUUUGCACUCAUAACGACGACGUCCAAAAGUACAUUUUUACACUCUUGACCUCGGAUCAGGUAGGGAUACCCGCUGAACUUAAGCAUAUCA
rnacentral:rRNA from 1 species